rnacentral:rRNA from 1 species
UCAAUAAGCGGAGGAAAAGAAACUAACAAGGAUUCCCCUAGUAACUGCGAGUGAAGCGGGAAAAGCUCAAAUUUAAAAUCUGGCGGUCUUUGGCCGUCCGAGUUGUAAUUUAGAGAAGCGUCUUCCGCGCCGGACCGUGCACAAGUCUCCUGGAAUGGAGCGUCAUAGAGGGUGAGAAUCCCGUCUUUGGCACGGAUGCCCGGUGCUUCUGUGAUGCGCUCUCGAAGAGUCGAGUUGUUUGGGAAUGCAGCUCAAAAUGGGUGGUGAACUCCAUCUAAAGCUAAAUAUUGGCGAGAGACCGAUAGCGAACAAGUACCGUGAGGGAAAGAUGAAAAGCACUUUGGAAAGAGAGUGAAACAGUACGUGAAAUUGUUGAAAGGGAAACGCUUGAAGUCAGUCGCGUCGACCGAGACUCAGCCUUGCCUUGGCUUGGUGUACUUCUCGGGCCCGACGGGUCAGCAUCAAUUUUGCCCCUCGGAUAAUGGCAAGGGAAAGGUGGCACCUUCACGGGUGUGUUAUAGUCUCCUGUCGCAUGCGAGGGGUGGGAUUGAGGAACUCAGCACGCACAUUGGUGUCGGGGCAUCUUGCCCACGUCACGUGCUUAGGAUGCUGGCGUAAUGGCUUUAAACGACCCGUCUUGAAAC